UACGAAGGGUGCAAGCGUUAAUCGGAAUUACUGGGCGUAAAGCGUGCGUAGGCGGUCUUUUAAGUCUGCUGUGAAAUCCCCGGGUUCAACCUGGGAAUGGCAGUGGAUACUGGGAGGCUAGAGUGUGUCAGAGGAUGGUGGAAUUCCCGGUGUAGCGGUGAAAUGCGUAGAGAUCGGGAGGAACAUCAGUGGCGAAGGCGGCCAUCUGGGACAACACUGACGCUGAGGCACGAAAGCGUGGGGAGCAAACAGG
rnacentral:rRNA from 1 species